UACGAACGCUGGCGGCGUGCCUAAUACAUGCAAGUUGAGCGCUGAAGGUUGGUACUUGUACCAACUGGAUGAGCAGCGAACGGGUGAGUAACGCGUGGGGAAUCUGCCUUUGAGCGGGGGACAACAUUUGGAAACGAAUGCUAAUACCGCAUAAAAACUUUAAACACAAGUUUUAAGUUUGAAAGAUGCAAUUGCAUCACUCAAAGAUGAUCCCGCGUUGUAUUAGCUAGUUGGUGAGGUAAAGGCUCACCAAGGCGAUGAUACAUAGCCGACCUGAGAGGGUGAUCGGCCACAGUGGGACUGAGACACGGCCCAAACUCCUACGGGAGGCAGCAGUAGGGAAUCUUCGGCAAUGGACGAAAGUCUGACCGAGCAACGCCGCGUGAGUGAAGAAGGGUGUCGGAUCGUAAAACUCUGUUGGUAGAGAAGAACGUUGGUGAGAGUGGAAAGCUCAUCAAGUGACGGUAACUACCCAGAAAGGGACGGCUAACUACGUG
rnacentral:rRNA from 1 species